UGGUUCUGGCAUCGAUGAAGAACGCAGCGAAAUGCGAUAAGUAAUGUGAAUUGCAGAAUUCAGUGAAUCAUCGAAUCUUUGGACGCACAUUGCGCCCUGUGGUAUUCCGCAGGGCAUGCCUGUUCGAGCGUCAUUUAACCACUCAAGCCUGGCUUGGUCUUGGGGCACGCGGUUCCGCGGCCCUCAAAAUGAGUGGCGGUGCCGGUGGGCUCUAAGCGUAGUACACACUCCCGCUAUAGAGGUCCCCCGGUGGCUCGCCAGAACCCCCCAUAUUUUACAGGUUGACCUCGGAUCAGGUAGGGAUACCCGCUGA
rnacentral:misc_RNA from 1 species